CUGACGACGUGUUUGAAAGAAGCGCCGAACUGUCAACAAUACGGCGAUUCCUGCAGCCAAGUUUUGUCAUGAUUCUGACAGGGUUCUGUCGCUUGUGGAGCAAAAACCUGGAUUCAGAACUUUUCACAGAACUUGACAAAUACACCCCUCACUUCUUUGAGAUUUUCAAGGGCAAAGGGGGAAGUGUUGGCCAGAAACUUCAGAUGUAUCUGCAACAAAGUCAAUAUUUUAUUAUCAUGUUGGGAACACAAUACACAACCCCACUGUGUAUGAGAAGCUGUUAAUUGAUUCUUCUUUACCACAGGAGUGAUGUGUGUUUGAUAUGAUUUUUCAGAGUAUGGAUAUUACUGCGAAGCAAAUGGCAGUGCUCGUUGGCCUCCCUGUGAUCCUUGGAGAUGAAAACACAGUCUUCAUCAAGACAUGCUUUACCCAGACGUGUCUCACACCUCCAUUGGGAUCCUGACGAUCAUUCCUGAGGACAGGCAGGCCUCCCUUGACUCACUGCACCUUGAGUCUUCAUCCAUCAUUUUGGAAGAAAGUCUUGUCAUGAAUGACCUUGGAAAUCUUCCACAUGCCAUCUGCUCUCUCUUUGGACUUAUUUAUGCUCUGAAUUUGGAGUACACUCAACAAGUACACCUUUGAUUUCAUCCAAAGGGUGCUUCUCUCACUUGGACAUAAAUCCCUAAAACCGAAAAUACAAUCACUCAAAAAUCUUCUGAUGCAAUGAGUGAAUGUGAUGUGACAUUAUGGAUCAACGUUGAUACCUUUACCCUUUUUGGAAAAGUGAUUUUUAUUUCUUGUUUGAUUCUUUUUUGUGGGAGGGAGCGUCAUUGCACUUGCAGACUACUAAAUGGUUUUAUGUUAAUGAGGAGAAACAUUACUUCACUAUUCACUUUUUUGAUGUUAUGAUAAAUGUUAGGCUCUAUUAUUGAAAAUUGAGUGUUUGUUUCACAGCAGUCAACAAAGACAUUUAAAUAGGGAUUCUCAAAGUUUUAAAAACGGGGGGCCAUUUGAAGGAUUCAAUAUUAGAUUGAAGGCUGCCCUAGAAAAAAAGUCAUGUCAUUUUUUUUUUCCUAAAAAAAAUCUAUGGAAAACUUUGUUUCCAGGUUAGUGUGUAUGUAACCACACUUGAGAACCCUAUAUUUAAGGUAAACUUG